rnacentral:rRNA from 1 species
CCUACGGGAGGCAGCAGUAGGGAAUCUUCCGCAAUGGAUGAAAGUCUGACGGAGCAACGCCGCGUGAGUGAUGAAGGCUUUCGGGUCGUAAAACUCUGUUGUUAGGGAAGAACAAGUGCUAGUUGAAUAAGCUGGCACCUUGACGGUACCUAACCAGAAAGCCACGGCUAACUACGUGCCAGCAGCCGCGGUAAU